CCUACGGGCGGCUGCAGUAGGGAAUAUUGCACAAUGGGGGAAACCCUGAUGCAGCAACGCCACGUGUGGGAAGACGCAUUUCGGUGUGUAAACCACUGUCGAUAGGGAAUAAUUAUGGAUUUCGGUCCAGUUGAAUGUACCUAUAAAGGAAGCACCGGCAAACUUCGUGCCAGCAGCCGCGGUAAUACGAGGGGUGCAAGCGUUGUUCGGAAUUACUGGGCGUAAAGGGAGCGUAGGCGGAUAAUCAAGUUGGCAGUUUAAUCCCGAGGCCCAACCUCGGACUUGCUGUCAAAACUGAUUAUCUUGAAUCAUUCAGAGGCAGAUGGAAUUUCAGGUGUAGCGGUGGAAUGCGUAGAUAUCUGAAAGAACACCAAUGGCGAAGGCAGUCUGCUGGGGAUGUAUUGACGCUGAGGCUCGAAAGCGUGGGUAGCAAACAGGAUUAGAUACCCCGGUAGUC
rnacentral:rRNA from 1 species